rnacentral:rRNA from 1 species
AUACGAAGGGGGCUAGCGUUGUUCGGAAUUACUGGGCGUAAAGCGCGCGUAGGCGGACUGAUCAGUUGGGGGUGAAAUCCCAGAGCUUAACCCUGGAACUGCCUCCAAUACUGUCAGUCUUGAGUUCGGGAGAGGUGAGUGGAAUUCCUAGUGUAGAGGUGAAAUUCGUAGAUAUUAGGAAGAACACCAGUGGCGAAGGCGUCUCACUGGCCCGAUACUGACGCUGAGGCGCGAAAGCGUGGGGAGCAAACAGGAUUAGAAACCCUUGUAGUCC